GUUUCCACUUACAGUGACUGAUAUGAACUUGUUCGUAUUACUUUCUUUUACAGUGUAAGAGAGCUGCCUCUGUGCAACUGAGCGAUACAGAAUUUGUUCCGUUUUCUUGCUGCUCCCUACAGUGACUUCAAGAGGUCCUGACUUCUCCUUUAGCAACUGGCACCUAACUAUACCUAAAGUCUGUAUUCCUAUCAUAAUAGUGUGAGAAAAUGGGGAAACCAGCCCAUUCCUGUGCAUCAAGACCCCUACCCACACUGUCCUGUUCUCUUCCUCUGUCAACUUUCCUAUGUAGCAGAUAUGGGGCUGGGAUGUCUCCAUUCCUUAUUUAGCUUUAUGUUGCCCUGAGUGGCUGCUACCUUUGCUAUUGAAAAACAGAAUAUGGAUAUUGGUUUGUAUUUCAAAUUUGUGUCAUGAAAUAUAGUUGAUGGGUUAAUUAAAAGAAAGGAGUAGAGUUGGGGUUGUAGCUCAGUGGUAGAGCUCUUGCCUACCAUGUAUGAGGCACUGGGUGUGAUUGAUUUUCAGCACCACAUAAAAAUUAAUUAAUUAAAUUAAAUUUAAAAUGGAAAGGAAUAUUCCUAAAAUUUCAGAGAGAAAAUAAAACUAAAACCUCCAGCAUUCAUCUGUUUGCUGUGCUGAGUCUGCUACAGGUGGGGACAGGAGAAGAUUGAAAGGAGCUACGAGUAGACAAGGUGGCACCCAGUCUGUGCUCAGUCCAUCCUGGGCUUUGAUGUGGUCACUCCUCAGCUGCAUCAUCUUCCCUGCUUCUUAGUCCUGUCCCUUCAGUCAAUAGCUAAUGAUCCCACCAGGACCUGUGAUGGCAGUAACUCAGGUGUCACCAGGGCUGAUCCUGUCUCCAGGACUAUGGACAGGGAGGGCAUCACGUGGGUUAGCAUUGGCUGAGACCUGAGUCUGGCCUUCUGCCUCUACCUUUUUUCAUUUCUCAAUUUCUAUAGAGAAUUAUCCCUGUUUUUGUUAGUAAGUAUGAGUUCUGGUCUCAUUCUCCUCUGGGUGUAUCUCACCUUUGACAGCAGCAGAAAUCCUUUUUUCUAUCAUUGUCUCACAAAAACCAGUGCAAUUUCCUGGAUUGUAUUUUCCAUCAUUCCUCCAGUAUUUUUAAAGGGAUCAGAUUAUGGGAAGAGAGGAAAGCUCUCACGACUCUCAUCUUCUAUAAAUUCCUCUUAGGGUUCCAUCUUCGCUACUCAGCAGUUUUACUGCUCUGAGCUCUACUAAUCCUAGCACUUGCUCCAUUACAAUUCCUAGAUGGAUAGAGUUUGAUAGAGAUUUCUGUUUAGUUGGAAAAUAUGACUCAUUAGUCAAGGAUCAUAUUUCCUGAAGAAAAGAAUGUACUUGAGUGCUGUGGAGUGCAGGGGGGCUGGUGUGGAGAGAAGGAGGGCAGCACUUGUGAGAAAGGCCCAAAUGCCUGAGACGUCAGUGUGAGAAGCCCUUGUGCUGCAGAUGCCACAGCAGCAUUUGGUAUGAAACUCCAUUAAUAAAGAAAGUAUCUCUAGAAUGGGAAGGGCUGACACUGAUCAUUCAUUCAGCUCUCAUUUGUUGGAUAAUGACACAUAUUUUGUAUCCAGGAUACAUUGGGGAACUGAAAACAAGCCAAAAGUGCCAACCUUGUGAAGCCUGUGUCUAUAGGAAAGAGGAAGAGGAUACACUCAUGUUAGAGUCUGUAAAUAAGUCAAAAUAACACCUGGCAUUUAGCCAGGGGAAUGUUAGAGUUCGUAAACAAGUCUGGAUGGUGCCUGGCAAAAUGCCAGAGGGAGUGGUUUGAGAAGUAACAAAAGCAAGCCAUUAAGUGUGGAGAUUCCUGAUUGGUUGACUGAUGUAUCUAGUUUAUGUUAAUUAGAUAAGCUGUGUGGAAUGUAUAAAUACUGCUCCUGUCCUGCAAUAAACGGCUCCUACUCCUGCUGUAUCAACGUACACAAGUUAUUCGUCACCCCACCCCCGGUUAUUUUGCUGCAGCCGUACUGCGGCACACUCAAAGCACAGUAAAUAAGGACGAUGUUCAUGUUAGGUGGUAAAUGCUGCAGGGCAGGUGUCAGAGUGGGUGUGUGUGGAAAGGGAAGAUGGCUUUUUUACUAUGGUGCUCAGCAUGGGGCUUACUAGCUAGGUGAUCUUUGAGGAAAGUUUUGAAGGCAUGAAAACUUUUGUUAUGUGGAUGUUUUGGAGGAAGAUCUUACUAGGAAGGAG
rnacentral:lncRNA from 1 species